rnacentral:lncRNA from 1 species
GACCAAGAUGCGAACACACAUCAGCCUGCACUGCACGGGGCAGUAUCGUCUCCAUGACACCGGCUUCUUCUAGAACUCUCCUGAAGGACUGCCAGAGGCUCUUCUCGAGAAGGGGUCUCUCUUUUUAGAAAUACAGUCACUGAGGUUUGCUUCUUUCUUUUUUCAUUAUAGAUUUGCCUGAAGGCAGAAAAGGCAGCAUGAACAAUCCCAUUGAUUCAAACCUUUUGGAAUUGGGGUCCAUGUUUUCAAGCUUUUGUCUUAUGAGGUACCAAGGAUUGAAUCCAGGGCAUUUUACCACUGAGCCACAUCCCCAGCCCUCUUUAUUUUUAAUUUUGAGACAGAGUCUCAUCAAGUUGCUGAGGCUGACCUCCAAUUUGCAAUCCUCCUGCCUCGGCCUCAGCCUCUGAAGGUGCUGGGAUUACAGGUGUGUGCCACCAAGCCUGGUGCUAUUUUCAAACUUUUUUUUUAAUAUUUAUUUUUUAGUUGGACACAAUAUCUUUAUUUAUUUAUUUUUAUGUGGUGCUGAGGAUCGAACCCAGGGCCUCGCACGUGCUAGGCGAGCGCUCUACCACUGAGCCACAGCCACAGCCCUCAAACUUUUAAAGGAGCUCGUUGAGGUCUGCAAAAAUUUCCACUAAACCUUUCACCGAGUUUUCUUGGGGCGUUCUCCUUUUCCUUCGGCAAUUUCUUCUCUCUUGCCUCUUCUUCAGUUAUGCGUUUAUUACGUGACAGGAAUUUUUAACUCCAUUACAAUGUUAUGAGAUCACCAUUGUGUACGGGUCCAUUGUUGACUGAGACAUUAUUAUGCAGAGCGGUAACUGAACUCGUUAAGCAAUAGCGCCUGAGUUUGAUAGGUGGUGUUUUUUUUUUUAAGUCAAUUAGUAACAUUUUUUUUCUCUAUCCAUUUUCAAGUGCUUUGGCCCCAUGGCAAGGUAAGAUGUAUUUCUAACUGUAGGCAGGUUUAGUUUUUAUAUAAUUGUGUAAGUGUUCUGUGAUUGACAGGCCAAUGGAAAACGAGUCUUUGUUCGUUGUAAUUUUGUUCUGAUUCUGGAUUGUCUUUGCACAUUUUAUAUAUUCCCCCUUUCUUAUGGGAAAAC